rnacentral:tRNA from 1 species
UAAAUGAAAGCCAAAAUAGAGGCCCCUAACUGUUAAUUAGACCAAUGUCCAAUAUGACUCAUUUAG